rfam:Thioalkalivibrio nitratireducens DSM 14787, complete genome.
GCAGAUGUGGUGGAAUUGGUAGACACGCUAUCUUGAGGGGGUAGUGGCGCAAGCCGUGUGGGUUCGAGUCCCACCAUCUGCA